rnacentral:lncRNA from 1 species
GGGGUUGGUUACAGUCGCUGGAAAUAGGUUCCACCGGCAGGACAACAAUCGCUAGAAAUGACUGCUACAGUUAGGGUUGGUGGUGGGAGGAGAGGAGAAGGACGGGAGAGAGAGAGUGAGAGGGAGAUGGGAGGCAAGAGAGAUAAGGGAGGGAGAGGGGCUUACCUGCUGGGUGGGGUGGUCGUCGACACCUCUAUUGGUCUCCAGCCGAUUGUUA